CCUACGGGUGGCAGCAGUGAGGAAUAUUGGUCAAUGGGCGGAAGCCUGAACCAGCCAAGUAGCGUGCGGGAUGAAGGCCCUACGGGUCGUAAACCGCUUUUGCACGGGGAUAACACCCUCCACUUGUGGAGGUCUGCAGGUGCCGUGCGAAUAAGGGCCGGCUAAUUCCGUGCCAGCAGCCGCGGUAAUACGGAGUGCCCGAGCGUUAUCCGGAUUCAUUGGGCUUAAAGGUAUCGUAGGCGGGCGUUCAAGUCAGCUGUAAAAUCGCGGGGCUCAAUCGCGCCACGCAGUUGAAACUGGACGGAUUGAGUUAACAGCAGGCAGGCGGAAUUCGUGGUGUAGCGGUGAAAUGCAUAGAUAUCACGAGGAACCCCGAUUGCGAAGGCAGCCUGCCGGGGUGCGACUGACGCUGAGGCUCGAAGGUGCGGGUAUCAAACAGGAUUAGAUACCCGAGUAGUC
rnacentral:rRNA from 1 species